CAGAACGAACGUACCACCGGUUCCGCAGCCGAGGCAGAGAAUCGGCAAGCCAGAAAUUAGGGUUCCGGGAAACAGGAAUCGUAAGUCGCGUAGAAGGCGCAUUACGGUCGCAGGAGGCAAUUAUGUAUGUAUUUAGGAUUUACUGAGGUACCACAACUUUGUGAAUAUUUAACCAUAUUUUUUUUGUACAAUUUUACGGUCACGUGUCAUGUUCAUUAGUCAU